GGGUCGGUAGUUUAAGAGAAGAACACCGUCUUUGACACACGGAGAUCCGGGUGCGACUCCCGGCCGAUCCA
rnacentral:tRNA from 1 species